GACGAACGCUGGCGGCGUGCUUAACACAUGCAAGUCGAACGAAGAGCGACGGAAGCUUGCUUCUAUCAAUCUUAGUGGCGAACGGGUGAGUAACGCGUAAUCAACCUGCCCUUCAGAGGGGGACAACAGUUGGAAACGACUGCUAAUACCGCAUACGAUCUAAUCUCGGCAUCGAGGAUGGAUGAAAGGUGGCCUCUACAUGUAAGCUAUCACUGAAGGAGGGGAUUGCGUCUGAUUAGCUAGUUGGAGGGGUAACGGCCCACCAAGGCGAUGAUCAGUAGCCGGUCUGAGAGGAUGAACGGCCACAUUGGGACUGAGACACGGCCCAGACUCCUACGGGAGGCAGCAGUGGGGAAUCUUCCGCAAUGGACGAAAGUCUGACGGAGCAACGCCGCGUGAGUGAUGACGGCCGUCGGGUUGUAAAGCUCUGUUAAUCGGGACGAAAGGCCUUCUUGCGAAUAGGGAGAAGGAUUGACGGUACCGGAAGAGAAAGCCACGGCUAACUACGUG
rnacentral:rRNA from 1 species